rnacentral:rRNA from 1 species
GCACAAGCGGUGGAGCAUGUGGUUCAAUUCGACGCAACGCGAAGAACCUUACCCAGGCUCGAACGGGGAGUGACAUUCGGUGAAAGCCGGCUUCCGCAAGGACACUUCUCGAGGUGCUGCAUGGCUGUCGUCAGCUCGUGUCGUGAGAUGUUGGGUUAAGUCCCGCAACGAGCGCAACCCUUGUCUUCUGUUGCCAUCACGUUAUGGUGGGCACUCUGAAGAGACUGCCGGUGACAAACCGGAGGAAGGUGGGGAUGACGUCAAGUCAGCAUGGCCUUUAUGUCUGGGGCUACACACGUGCUACAAUGGCAGAUACAAACCGUCGCGAUACCGCAAGGUGGAGCUAAUCGGAGAAAGUCUGUCUCAGUUCGGAUUGCAGGCUGCAACUCGCCUGCAUGAAGUUGGAAUCGCUAGUAAUCGCGGAUCAGCACGCCGCGGUGAAUACGUUCCCGGGC